rnacentral:lncRNA from 1 species
GUGGAAACAUCAUCCAAUAAGAAGCGCGUAUUUGAGAGUUAAUCACUAUUUAACUACAAAAUAGUGAUUAAAAACGUGAUUAAAGGCUGCAUUCCAGUUAUACGCGUUUUUCAUACGUGCGUGUACGGACGUAUGAAAAACGCGUAACUGGAAUGCAGCCUUAAGAGUUUUAUACAACCGGGCCCCUGCUCAUUUUACCAAAACAUCCAGAACAGCAUUUUAACCAUGUUAUCCGCCAACUGAACGAUUUCGCACUUUUUAUCUUGCCUGUGUUUCACCCACAUUUGGUUUACACAAUUAAAGUUUCUGUGAUCACAGUAGGAAUUU